rnacentral:lncRNA from 1 species
CAGAUGCUGUCCACCACCGUUAUCGGGUGUGUGAAAACCCUCGUUCCUUGCUGUUUAUAUCAGCACAAGGCCCGGCUUUCCUACCCACCCAACUUCCUUAUGACGAUGCUGUUUGUGGGUCUGAUGAGGUUUGCAACUGUGGUUUUGGGUUUGGUCAGCCUGAAAAAUGUGGCGGUUUCGUUUGCUGAGACGGUGAAGAGCUCCGCCCCCAUCUUCACGGUGAUCAUGUCUCGGAUGAUUCUGGGGGAGUACACAGGUGAGGCCCCCGGGCCCCGCCCAUCCG